GCGGAUAUGAUAAUCGACUGAGAGAGAAUGUUGAAUAUCUGGUGGAACCUAGACGCCUGGCAGAAAGGGAAGGAGUCUCUCAUCGGGUAAACUUCAUUACGUCCUGCUCAACAGCUGACAGAAAUAAACUUCUUCCACAGUGCCUGUGUCAUUUAUACUCCUAAGGAUGAACACUUUGGCAUCGUCCCUUUGGAGGCAGUUUGCAGCUCAUAAGCCUGUGAUUGCAUGCAAUAGUGGUGGUCCUGUGGAGACUGUUAAGGAUGGAGAAACAGGAUUUCUUUGCAACCCUACUGGAAGUAAAGAAGAUUGAAAAUAGCAUAGUUAGCUGGAAGAUGAUGAUGCUAUAGAUCCUUUUAUGACCAAAUACAAGAUUAUUUUGAUAGACAGAAACCAUUGCCUCUUGUUGUUAUAUAUAUAUAUAUAUAUAUAUAUAUAUAUAUAUAUAUAUAUAUAUUGCCAAUUAUUGGUCGAGGAAGGGAAAAACCACAAUUAUGCGUCUGUUUUUUGACAUUUUAUUGUAUUUGAUAUUUAAUUUAGAUCUUCACAAUAUUAGAAUUGGUGGUGUCAAUGUAUGGUUA